rnacentral:rRNA from 1 species
AAUAUGAAGGCGGGCUGGAACCUCUCGGGGUUACAGCCUUGCUGAAUUAUUCACCCUUGUCUUUUGCGUACUUCUUGUUUCCUUGGUGGGUUCGCCCACCACUAGGACAAACAUAAACCUUUUGUAAUUGCAAUCAGCGUCAGUAACAAAUUAAUAAUUACAACUUUCAACAACGGAUCUCUUGGUUCUGGCAUCGAUGAAGAACGCAGCGAAAUGCGAUAAGUAGUGUGAAUUGCAGAAUUCAGUGAAUCAUCGAAUCUUUGAACGCACAUUGCGCCCUUUGGUAUUCCAAAGGGCAUGCCUGUUCGAGCGUCAUUUGUACCCUCAAGCUUUGCUUGGUGUUGGGCGUCUUGUCUCUAGCUUUGCUGGAGACUCGCCUUAAAGUAAUUGGCAGCCGGCCUACUGGUUUCGGAGCGCAGCACAAGUCGCACUCUCUAUCAGCAAAGGUCUAGCAUCCAUUAAGCCUUUUUUUCAACUUUUGACCUCGGAUCAGGUAGG